rnacentral:rRNA from 1 species
CUGAUGCAGCGACGCCGCGUGAGGGAUGACGGCCUUCGGGUUGUAAACCUCUUUCAGCUCUGAAGAAGCGAAAGUGACGGUAGGAGCAGAAGAAGCACCGGCUAACUACGUGCCAGCAGCCGCGGUAAUACGUAGGGUGCGAGCGUUGUCCGGAAUUAUUGGGCGUAAAGAGCUUGUAGGCGGUUUGUCGCGUCUGCUGUGAAAGCCCGGGGCUUAACCCCGGGUCUGCAGUGGGUACGGGCAGGCUAGAGUGUGGUAGGGGAGACUGGAAUUCCUGGUGUAGCGGUGGAAUGCGCAGAUAUCAGGAGGAACACCGAUGGCGAAGGCAGGUCUCUGGGCCAUUACUGACGCUGAGAAGCGAAAGCAUGGGGAGCGAACAGGAUUAGAUACCCUGGUAGUCCAUGCCGUAAACGUUGGGCGCUAGGUGUGGGUCACAUUCCACGUGAUCUGUGCCGCAGCUAACGCAUUAAGCGCCCCGCCUGGGGAGUACGGCCGCAAGGCUAA